UGGGGAAUUUUGGACAAUGGGCGCAAGCCUGAUCCAGCAAUGCCGCGUGAGUGAAGAAGGCCUUCGGGUUGUAAAGCUCUUUUGUCAGGGAAGAAACGGGUGGGGCUAAUAUCCCCAUCUAAUGACGGUACCUGAAGAAUAAGCACCGGCUAACUACGUGCCAGCAGCCGCGGUAAUACGUAGGGUGCAAGCGUUAAUCGGAAUUACUGGGCGUAAAGCGUGCGCAGGCGGUUUUGUAAGUCUGUCGUGAAAUCCCCGGGCUCAACCUGGGAAUUGCGAUGGAGACUGCAAGGCUAGAAUCUGGCAGAGGGGGGUAGAAUUCCACGUGUAGCAGUGAAAUGCGUAGAGAUGUGGAGGAACACCGAUGGCGAAGGCAGCCCCCUGGGUCAAGAUUGACGCUCAUGCACGAAAGCGUGGGGAGCAAACAGGAUUAGAUACCCUGGUAGUCCACGCCCUAAACGAUGUCUACUAGUUGUCGGGUUUUAA
rnacentral:rRNA from 1 species